AAGAGAGUGAGGGCGUAUAUAUAAAUUGCAGAGAAAAUAACCGUAGAGGAAAUGCGGUCAAUAAGGUGGGGACACGUGUGGGGCUCAAACGUUAUGAUUAGGUACAAAGAUAUCUCGUGGGAGGCCAGAGAAUCCGGAUCCGACACUUAUAUUUAAGCUAUUGUUUUUAAUGUUGGAAAAUUAGCUGUUAGCAUUGUACGGUUGCUAACCUUGUACGCUUUUUUUUGGAUGAUUCAGGUUUGUUAGAGUGGACAGAUCCUAAAAGCGCGUGCCACAAACGUACUAAUGAGUGAGCGCCAGGUAAUUUUCCUAUUUUCAAAACUUUCUAAUUUUUUAAUCUACUCUACUCGAUCCAAUUUGAGUACCAUCGUUACGAUCCAAGACGAUUGCUGGCAAUGCUCAACUUGAUUUGGUGGUUAACAAUUAUUUGGAUGGACUACAUUAAUCUGCGCCUUACCAACUCAGAAGCUUAUUGUUUUCAGGUUGCAGGGGCAGUACGGGAGCCAGGGGCCAGCUUUCCAUCUUCAAUUAUUAAAAUUGACGAAUUAAAUUAAUUAGGAUGAUAUGAUGACUUUUACGUUAUUUCAUUUGUUUUACUCUAGGGACGUGGAGCGAUCAGAAAUCAGAUUUUUACUAAAUGGACCAAUCAAAAUUCAUAGAAGUUGC
rnacentral:lncRNA from 1 species